CAGUUCGGAUUGUAGUCUGCAACUCGACUACAUGAAGCUGGAAUCGCUAGUAAUCGCGGAUCAGAAUGCCGCGGUGAAUACGUUCCCGGGUCUUGUACACACCGCCCGUCACACCAUGGGAGUCGAUAACGCCCGAAGUCAGUGACCCAACCUGUAAGGAGGGAGCUGCCGAAGGCGGGAUUGAUAACUGGGGUGAAGUCGUAACAAGGUACC
rnacentral:rRNA from 1 species